CGAGCUCAAACAUGUUACACACAUCAAGAACACCAAGCAGUGAAGGAGGGAAGAUAGACGGAGGGAGAGAUGGGUUUGGAAAGAUCUACACAGACUAUUGUAAUGGUGUCUUCAGUAUCUCUGUAUGUUUUACUGACACAAGCUAUGUCUUCCUGCUCUCUAAAGGGUUUCCUGUCUGUCACAGGAGGAGUCUGAGAUCAAGAGAACCCCAGAUCCACAGGAAGAGAUAGAAGGUGGAGGAGAGGAAAGAUGGACGUACCAGCAGGUACCAGAUUAAAGGCUGCCUUCAGUGUGUUCUUACCAAGUGUUUCUACUGUAGAUGGACGUACCAGCAGGGUACCAGCAGGUACCAGAUUAAAUGCUGCCUUCAGUGUGUUCUUACCGGCGCUGCCCCAUUGACCCAGAUGAUUGCGCUCUUCUUGUUGGAGGGAACCUUCCGGUAGAUGUACCAACACUCCUCUAUGAAGACCAGCAU